rnacentral:rRNA from 1 species
AGUCAAUCUACCCUAUGGACGGGAAUAACCUCGGGAAACUGAGAAUAAUGCCCGACAGAACAUUAUACCUGGAACGGUUUAUGUUUCAAAUGAUUUAUCGCCGUAGGAUGGGACUGCGGCCUAUCAGUUUGUUGGUGAGGUAAUGGCCCACCAAGACUAUUACAGGUACGGGCUCUGAGAGGAGUAGCCCGGAGAUGGGUACUGAGACACGGACCCAGGCCCUAUGGGGCGCAGCAGGCGAGAAAACUUUGCAAUGUGCGAAAGCACGACAAGGUUAAUCCGAGUGGUUUCUGCUAAAGAAACCUUUUGCUAGUCCUAGAAACACUAGUGAAUAAGGGGUGGGCAAGUUCUGGUGUCAGCCGCCGCGGUAAAACCAGCACCUCAAGUGGUCAGGAUGAUUAUUGGGCCUAAAGCAUCCGUAGCUCGUUUUGUAAGUUUUCGGUUAAAUCCAUACGCUUAACGUAUGGGCUGCCGGGAAUACUGCAUAACUAGGAAGUGGGAGAGGUAGACGGUACUCGGUAGGAAGGGGUAAAAUCCUUUGAUCUAUUGAUGACCACCUGUGGCGAAGGCGGUCUACCAGAACACGUUCGACGGUGAGGGAUGAAAGCUGGGGGAGCAAACCGGAUUAGAUACCCGGGUAGUCCCAGCUGUAAACUAUGCAAACUCAGUGAUGCAUUGGCUUGUGGCCAAUGCAGUGCUGCAGGGAAGCCGUUAAGUUUGCCGCCUGGGAAGUACGUACGCAAGUAUGAAACUUAAAGGAAUUGGCGGGGGAGCACCACAAGGGGUGAAGCCUGCGGUU